GGUAGCGUGGCCGAGUGGUCUAAGGCGCUGGGUUUAGGCUCCAGUCUCUUCGGAGGCGCGGGUUCGAACCCCGCCGCUACCA
rnacentral:tRNA from 1 species